UGGGACAGGCUGGCCCGGGACUGGCCGGCAUUGUGGUCAAACUGCAUUAAGCAGAAGAUCAGGUCCGUCGGCACGAGCUCAAACUCAUAGGGCGGGUUGGUGAUGACAUACCUGGACAGGGAAAGCAGAGAUGUCACCUCCUGAGAGUAACUGAGUAAAGAAUUCAACUCUCUCUGAACCAAAAGCAAUGGCCUGGUUACUCAGGACUUUCAGAGGAUCUGGAAGAUGCACUCCUAGCUGGUCUGAGGCCUUAAACAUUCUUUUUCUUGUUAAAUGGAAACUUCCUCUGUUUAACUCAAUAAAGGAGGCCAGCCAGGAGCCCAGGCAGAGAUGUGGAAUUAGAGCCAGUAAUGGAAGAACCAAACUUCGCUUCUCGUGGUCUACAUGUACCUUUCUAUACAAGGUCAAAGUCACUUUCAAGUAGCCCAACCGCAAGAGGUUUCAUGAAGUGUGAUGCAACUUUCAUUUCAUAAUUUUCGGACAAUCCCAGAUAUACAUCACAAGAUCUUUGUUUACCAUGACAGAGUGUCUCCUUAGACUAUUCUCGCUCUUUACCUUUUAAAAUCUACUUUGGUGAGAGAAUUUGGAAUUUGGAAUUCACCACAUGGAAGAAUCUAAGAAACCUGCCUACUUAUCAGCACUACUUUGUUGUUCUUCACAAUUAGUUGGAGCUUUCUUUGGUCAACAGCAGAUGUGACUAAGAAAAUCACGCUGUUUCACUUAGAGCAGUGGUCACCAAGUGUGGUCCUUAGGCCACACAGGUCAGCAUCACCUAGGAACUAGGAAAUGCAAGUUCUUAAGCAAUCCCACCCAGACCUACUGAAUUGGAAGUGCUGAGGAUGGGGUCCAGCAAUCUGUGGUUGAACAAGCUCUGCAGGCAUCCAGGAGCAGAGCUGUGGGGCAGCAGAAUCUGUGAUGACAGAGAAUGAUGAUGUAUUUUUGCCAGCAGAUGCUUUUGCUCCUGUUUUGAUACCCCAAUAUUCGGAUGCAGAAAAGGACUCUGAGCAUUGCUGACGGGUGUGCUCUGCACACCUAUCUCUUCAGGAUCUGAAUAAUUUGGUGGAAAGACAAUGCCUUUUCUGGAAAAGGGUGUCAGCCAUGACUAUAUCAUGGGUAGCACCUGAAGUCUCUCUACAUUAAACAACGCCCUAGUUCUGCAUGUGAACACACUGGCACAUGGAAUAUACUCCAGAGAUCUACAGCUAGAGAACAGUGAAACUGGGAAACACUCCCUUCAUUAGUUAAACUAACACUUGGGAAGUUAAUUUUAGAAACAACCACUUAUUUUGCCAGAAAAGAUGACUAAGAAUAUCACCAUUAGAGACAUGGAAUGAGAAGUCCUCAAUCAGGAAAAGACUGAAGUUUAAAUCAUCCACAGCCAAAGCUAUCACCAGAUGGGCUCCUGAUUCUUUAGCCAUGUACCCAUAGCACUUUGUUGAUCAUGGCCAUGGGAGGCAAGUUUUGUGCUAAAAAUGACUUCCAUAUGUUUGUUGGCCAUUUGUAUAUAACAUCACUAAGUAUCAGGAAAAUGCAAAUCAAAACACAAUGUGAUACCACCUUAUUCCUGCAAGAACGGCCAUAAUCAAAAUAUCAAGAAACAGUAGAUGUUGGCAUGGAUGCGGUGAACAGAGAACACCUCUACACUGCUGGCGGCAAUGUAAACUACUACAGCCACUAUGGAAAACAGUGUGGAGAUUCCUCAAAGAACUAAAAGUAGAUCUACCAUUUUAUCCAGCAAUCCCACCACUGGUUAUCUACCCAGAGGAAAAGAAGUCAUUAUUCGAAAAAGAUACUUGCACACGAAUGUUUAUAGCAGCACAAUUCACAAUUGCAAAACCAUGGAACUAACCCAAAUGCCCAUUAAUCAAUGAGAGGAUAAAGAAACUGUGAGAUAUAUAUAUAUAUACACACACACAUAUAUAUAUCACAUCACACACACACACACACACACACACACACAUAUAUAUGUGAGUGAAUACUACACAGCCAUACAAAGGAAUUAAUUAACAGCAUUUGCAGUGACCUGGAUGAGACUGGAGACUAUUAUUCUAAGUGAUGUAACUCAGGAAUGGAAAACCAAACAUCAUAUGUUCUCACUGGUAUGUGGGAGCUAUGCUAUGGAGAUGCAAAGGCAUAAGAAUGAUACAACAGACUUCAGGGACUUAGGGGUUAAGAGUGGGAGGGAGACGAGGGAUAAAAGACUACAAAUAUGGGGCAGUGUAUACUGCUUGGGUGAAGGAUGCACCAAAAUCUCACAGAUCACCACUAAAGAACUUACUCAUGCAACCAAACACCACCUGUACCCCAAUACCCCAAUAACUUCUGGAA
rnacentral:lncRNA from 10 species